GCCAAUGUUGCUUAGUGGAUAGAGCAUUAGCCUGCACAUCAAAAGGUUUUGGGUUCAAUUCUCAGUCAAGGGCA